rnacentral:rRNA from 1 species
ACGAACGCUGGCGGCGUGCUUAACACAUGCAAGUCGAACGGAAAGGCCCUGCUUUUGUGGGGUGCUCGAGUGGCGAACGGGUGAGUAACACGUGAGUAACCUGCCCUUGACUUUGGGAUAACUUCAGGAAACUGGGGCUAAUACCGGAUAGGAGCUCCUGCUGCAUGGUGGGGGUUGGAAAGUUUCGGCGGUUGGGGAUGGACUCGCGGCUUAUCAGCUUGUUGGUGGGGUAGUGGCUUACCAAGGCUUUGACGGGUAGCCGGCCUGAGAGGGUGACCGGCCACAUUGGGACUGAGAUACGGCACAGACUCCUACGGGAGGCAGCAGUGGGGAAUAUUGCACAAUGGGCGGAAGCCUGAUGCAGAAACGCCGCGUGCGGGAUGACGGCCUUCGGGUUGUAAACCGCUUUCGCCUGUGACGAAGCGUGAGUGACGGUAAUGGGUAAAGAAGCACCGGCUAACUACGUG